rnacentral:rRNA from 1 species
GGCGGACGGGUGAGUAACACGUGGGUAACCUACCUAUAAGACUGGGAUAACUUCGGGAAACCGGAGCUAAUACCGGAUAAUAUGUUUCACCUCAUGGUGAAACAGUGAAAGACGGUUUCGGCUGUCACUUAUAGAUGGACCCGCGGCGCAUUAGCUAGUUGGUGAGGUAACGGCUCACCAAGGCGACGAUGCGUAGCCGACCUGAGAGGGUGAUCGGCCACACUGGGACUGAGACACGGCCCAGACUCCUACGGGAGGCAGCAGUAGGGAAUCUUCCGCAAUGGACGAAAGUCUGACGGAGCAACGCCGCGUGAGUGAAGAAGGUUUUCGGAUCGUAAAACUCUGUUGUAAGGGAAGAACAAGUACGUUAGUAACUGAACGUACCUUGACGGUACCUUACCAGAAAGCCACGGCUAACUACGUGCCAGCAGCCGCGGUAAUACGUAGGUGGCAAGCGUUAUCCGGAAUUAUUGGGCGUAAAGCGCGCGUAGGCGGUCUCUUAAGUCUGAUGUGAAAGCCCCCGGCUCAACCGGGGAGGGUCAUUGGAAACUGGGAGACUUGAGUGCAGAAGAGGAGAGUGGAAUUCCAUGUGUAGCGGUGAAAUGCGCAGAGAUAUGGAGGAACACCAGUGGCGAAGGCGGCUCUCUGGUCUGUAACUGACGCUGAGGUGCGAAAGCGUGGGGAUCAAACAGGAUUAGAUACCCUGGUAGUCCACGCCGUAAACGAUGAGUGCUAAGUGUUGGGGGGUUUCCGCCCCUCAGUGCUGCAGCUAACGC